rnacentral:rRNA from 3 species
AGACCCGAAACCCGGUGAUCUAGCCAUGGGCAGGUUGAAGGUUGGGUAACACUAACUGGAGGACCGAACCGACUAAUGUUGAAAAAUUAGCGGAUGACCUGUGGCUGGGGGUGAAAGGCCAAUCAAACCGGGAGAUAGCUGGUUCUCCCCGAAAGCUAUUUAGGUAGCGCCUCGUGAAUUCAUCUCCGGGGGUAGAGCACUGUUUCGGCUAGGGGGCCAUCCCGGCUUACCAACCCGAUGCAAACUGCGAAUACCGGAGAAUGUUAUCACGGGAGACACACGGCGGGUGCUAACGUCCGUCGUGAAGAGGGAAACAACCCAGACCGCCAGCUAAGGUCCCAAAGUCAUGGUUAAGUGGGAAACGAUGUGGGAAGGCCCAGACAGCCAGGAUGUUGGCUUAGAAGCAGCCAUCAUUUAAAGAAAGCGUAAUAGCUCACUGGUCGAGUCGGCCUGCGCGGAAGAUGUAACGGGGCUAAACCAUGCACCGAAGCUGCGGCAGCGACGCUUAUGCGUUGUUGGGUAGGGGAGCGUUCUGUAAGCCUGUGAAGGUGGCCUGUGAGGGUUGCUGGAGGUAUCAGAAGUGCGAAUGCUGACAUAAGUAACGAUAAAGCGGGUGAAAAGCCCGCUCGCCGGAAGACCAAGGGUUCCUGUCCAACGUUAAUCGGGGCAGGGUGAGUCGACCCCUAAGGCGAGGCCGAAAGGCGUAGUCGAUGGGAAACGGGUUAAUAUUCCCGUACUUGGUGUUACUGCGAAGGGGGGACGGAGAAGGCUAUGUUGGCCGGGCGACGGUUGUCCCGGUUUAAGCGUGUAGGUGUGUGUUCCAGGUAAAUCCGGUUCACUUUAACACUGAGGCGUGACGACGAGGCACUACGGUGCUGAAGCAACAAAUGCCCUGCUUCCAGGAAAAGCCUCUAAGCAUCAGGUAACAUCAAAUCGUACCCCAAACCGACACAGGUGGUCAGGUAGAGAAUACCAAGGCGCUUGAGAGAACUCGGGUGAAGGAACUAGGCAAAAUGGUGCCGUAACUUCGGGAGAAGGCACGCUGACACGUAGGUGAAGUGAUUUACUCAUGGAGCUGAAGUCAGUCGAAGAUACCAGCUGGCUGCAACUGUUUAUUAAAAACACAGCACUGUGCAAACACGAAAGUGGACGUAUACGGUGUGACGCCUGCCCGGUGCCGGAAGGUUAAUUGAUGGGGUCAGCGCAAGCGAAGCUCCUGAUCGAAGCCCCGGUAAACGGCGGCCGUAACUAUAACGGUCCUAAGGUAGCGAAAUUCCUUGUCGGGUAAGUUCCGACCUGCACGAAUGGCGUAAUGAUGGCCAGGCUGUCUCCACCCGAGACUCAGUGAAAUUGAACUCGCUGUGAAGAUGCAGUGUACCCGCGGCAAGACGGAAAGACCCCGUGAACCUUUACUAUAGCUUGACACUGAACAUUGAGCCUUGAUGUGUAG